CAGCAGCCGCGGUAAUACGUAGGGUGCGAGCGUUAAUCGGAAUUACUGGGCGUAAAGCGUGCGCAGGCGGUUGUGUAAGACAGGUGUGAAAUCCCCGGGCUUAACCUGGGAACUGCGCUUGUGACUGCACAGCUAGAGUAUGGCAGAGGGGGGUGGAAUUCCACGUGUAGCAGUGAAAUGCGUAGAGAUGUGGAGGAACACCGAUGGCGAGGGCAGCCCCCUGGGCCAAUACUGACGCUCAUGCACGAAAGCGUGGGGAGCAAACAGGAUUAGAUACCCCCGUAGUCCCUGUCUCUUAUAC
rnacentral:rRNA from 1 species